CCUACGGGGGGCAGCAGUGGGAAUAUUGGACAAUGGGGGCAACCCUGAUCCAGCCAUGCCGCGUGUGUGAAGAAGGCCCUCGGGUUGUAAAGCACUUUCAGUGAGGAAGAACGCCUGGUGGUUAAUACCCAUCAGGAAAGACAUCACUCACAGAAGAAGCACCGGCUAACUCCGUGCCAGCAGCCGCGGUAAUACGGAGGGUGCGAGCGUUAAUCGGAAUUACUGGGCGUAAAGCGCGCGUAGGUGGCUUGAUAAGCCGGUUGUGAAAGCCCCGGGCUCAACCUGGGAACGGCAUCCGGAACUGUCAAGCUAGAGUGCAGGAGAGGAAGGUAGAAUUCCCGGUGUAGCGGUGAAAUGCGUAGAGAUCGGGAGGAAUACCAGUGGCGAAGGCGGCCUUCUGGACUGACACUGACACUGAGGUGCGAAAGCGUGGGUAGCAAACAGGAUUAGAUACCCUUGUAGUC
rnacentral:rRNA from 1 species